GAUGAAGAACGUAGUGAAAUGCGAUAAGUAGUGUGAAUUGCAGAAUUCAGUGAAUCAUCGAAUCUUUGAACGCACAUUGCGCCCCUUGGUAUUCCAUGGGGCAUGCCUGUUCGAGCGUCAUUUGUACCUUCAAGCUUUGCUUGGUGUUGGGUGUUUGUCUCGCCUUUGAGUGUAGACUCGCCUUAAAAUAAUUGGCAGCCGGCGUAUUGAUUUCGGAGCGCAGUACAUCUCGCGCUUUGCACUCAUAACGACAGCGUCCAAAAGUACAUUUUACACUCUUGACCUCGGAUCAGGUAGGGAUACCCGCUGAACUUAAGCAUAUCAAUAAGCGGAGGA
rnacentral:misc_RNA from 1 species